UACGUAGGGUGCAAGCGUUGUCCGGAAUUAUUGGGCGUAAAGAGCUCGUAGGCGGCCUGUCGCGUCGGCUGUGAAAACCCGGGGCUCAACCCCGGGCCUGCAGUCGAUACGGGCAGGCUAGAGUUCGGCAGGGGAGACUGGAAUUCCUGGUGUAGCGGUGAAAUGCGCAGAUAUCAGGAGGAACACCGGUGGCGAAGGCGGGUCUCUGGGCCGAUACUGACGCUGAGGAGCGAAAGUGUGGGGAGCGAACAGG
rnacentral:rRNA from 1 species